AGGAUUCCAGGAAUCUCGACCAUCCUCAGGUUAAUUUACACCUGCCAGGAAAUAUCUUAGGUUUAUUUCGAAUAUAUACCAAACCUGAAAUGUUCUGUUUUUUAUUUCGGAAGCAGAAUCAUUUUCAGGAAAGGGGAUGAGCAUGAAUCAGCUGUUCUCCGCCAAAGCGAUCAAAGCCAUCAUAAUCAACAUAGUGACCAAAAGAGAGAAAGACAAUAACAACAGUAGUUCUGCUUCUGCAACUGAUUUCCUUGCUCUGCUUCUCAA
rnacentral:lncRNA from 1 species